AUUGAACGCUGGCGGAAUGCUUUACACAUGCAAGUCGAACGGCAGCACGGGGGCAACCCUGGUGGCGAGUGGCGAACGGGUGAGUAAUACAUCGGAACGUGCCCAGUCGUGGGGGAUAACGUAGCGAAAGUUACGCUAAUACCGCAUACGAUCUACGGAUGAAAGCGGGGGACCGUAAGGCCUCGCGCGAUUGGAGCGGCCGAUGUCAGAUUAGGUAGUUGGUGAGGUAAAGGCUCACCAAGCCGACGAUCUGUAGCUGGUCUGAGAGGACGACCAGCCACACUGGGACUGAGACACGGCCCAGACUCCUACGGGAGGCAGCAGUGGGGAAUUUUGGACAAUGGGCGCAAGCCUGAUCCAGCCAUUCCGCGUGCAGGACGAAGGCCUUCGGGUUGUAAACUGCUUUUGUACGGAACGGAAAGGUUUCUACUAAUACUAGGAGCUCAUGGCGGUACUGUAAGAAUAAGCACCGGCUAACUACGUGCCAGCAGCCGCCGUAA
rnacentral:rRNA from 1 species